rnacentral:rRNA from 4 species
AGAGUUUGAUCCUGGCUCAGGAUAAACGUUGGCGGUGUGCCUGAGAUAUGCAAGUCGAAUGUCCCCGCUGCAAGGCGGGGUAAUGGCGGACGGCUGAGUAACACGUAGAAAUCUGCCUCAAAGUGAAGACUAGUCCAUCGAAAGGUGGAGUAAUGCUUCAUGUGUUAGAUGCAAAUCUAAUAAAGAGUGUAACUACUUGCUUUGAGAUGAGUCUGCGGUCUAUCAGGUAGUUGGUAGGGUAAAGGCCUACCAAGCCUAUGACGGAUAGCUGGCCUGAGAGGGUGGUCAGCCAGAGGGGCACUGAGACACGGGCCCCACUCCUACGGGAGGCAGCAAUCAGGAAUAGUCGGCAAUGGGCGAAAGCCUGACCGCGCGACACCGCGUGCAGGAAGAAACUCUUCGGAGCGUAAACUGCUGUGAUAAGGGAAGAAAGGCCCGCUUAGCGGGCUUUGACGGUACCUUAUAAGAAAGGGGCCGCUAACUGCGUGCCAGAAGCGUCGGUAAUACGUGGGCCCCAAACGUUAUCCGGUUUUAUUGGGCUUAAAGGGUCGUGUAGGCGGUGCGAUAAGUCUUGGUUUAAAUACUACGGCUUAACCGUAGGACAGGCUAAGAUACUAUCGAACUAGAGUUAUCUUAAGGGAAACUGGAACUCAGGGAGGAGUAGUGAAAUGCGUUGAUACCCUGGGGAACACCAGUGGCGAAGGCGAGUUUCUAGAAGGUAACUGACGCUGAAACACGAAAGCUAGGGGAGCGAAGCAGAUUAGAGACCUGCGUAGUCCUAGCCGUAAACUAUGCUUGCUAGCUGCAUUGACCCCGCUUUUGCGGGGUUGGUGUGGCGAAGGGAAACCGUUAAGCAAGCCGCCUGGGGAGUACGACCGCAAGGUUAAAACUCAAAGGAAUUGGCGGGGAGGCACACAACCAGUGGAACAUGUGGUUUAAUUCGAAACGAACCGAAGAACCUCACCAGGACUUGACAUGCCACCGUACAUUUUGCUAGAAAUAGUGAGAAAUCCGCAAGGAUGGUGGCACAGGUGCUGCAUGGCCGUCGUCAGCUCGUUCCGUGAGGAGUACCCUUAAGUGGGACAACGAGCGCAACCCCCAUCCCGAGUUAAAUCUGUCUCGGGAAACGGUCCCGACAUUUCGUCGGGAAGGAAGGAGGGGUAGACGUCAGGUCAGCAUGGUCCUUAUGUCCUGGGCUACACACAUGUUACAAUGGACAGAAAUAAUGUGUUUUGCUACUUUGCGAAAAGAAGCUAAUCACUAAACCUGUUCUCGGUGGGGAUUGAAGUCUGCAACUCGACUUCAUGAACGUGGAAUUGGUAGUAAUCGUGGAUCAGUCAUGCCACGGUGAAUGCGUUCUUGCCUCUUGCACACACCGCCCGUCAAGCCAACAAAGUCGAUGCUAUUCGAAACUUUCCGAUCUAAUCGGGAAAAGAGAAUAAUUUUGGCGAUGGGGGUUAAGUCGUAACAAGGUAGCCGUUCUGGAAGGAGCGGCUGGAUCACCUCCUUU